GACCUGGUGGAGCUCCUUGCUGUGUUGGUGUUGGUUGGAUCUCUGUCAGGGGUCAUCCCUGCCCUCGGGGUUGUGAAGGUGUGAAGUCACUUGGUCGAAGCCCUGCUCUGUCUUCAAGCAGGGGGUGGGCACAGCUGGGGAAGACUUCAUUGUGGUGGUGGUGAUGGUUCUGCAAAUUGCUGGUGAUGGAUUUCCACUUAGCUACAGCUUCUUCUCCACUCUUUGAUGAGGAUGCACUCCAGUACAGGUGGUUGAUGGAACUUUUUCUCCACUUUGUCUCCUCACAGCCAUGCUCCUUCUUGAGUACUUCCAACUUCUUGGACAGGCCUUUAAAGAGGGAGAGAAUUUUUUUAUUUUUUGCACCUUUAAAUAAAUAAUUUACAAAUGCCAAGACUGAUACCAAGUCUUAAAGGUGUGACUUCACUUUAUGCUGAUUAAUUGUAAUUGCUUAGAUCAAUAACAAACCUUUUGCCACAUGCCAGAGAAGAAGAGCUAUAUGUCUUUCUACUACUCUUGCAGGUGCUUUCCAGUAUGUGGGUGACGGUCUGUUACACAGGCACCUACUGUCCUACAUCCUACUGUCCUACAUCCUACUGUCCUACAUCCUACUGUCCUAGGAGCUACAGUCGUUUUCCAGGAAAUGACAAACUUUAAAAUACCAUAAAGAAUACCUACAUUUUUUGUCAUUGUUGGGCCAGAUACUGGUGUAUAGGUGAUGAUCAGCACAAGACUAUGUGAUAUAAAACAAACCUUAAACAUC